AGAGUUUGAUCAUGGCUCAGGAUGAACGCUAGCUACAGGCUUAACACAUGCAAGUCGAGGGGAAACGACAUCGAAAGCUUGCUUUUGAUGGGCGUCGACCGGCGCACGGGUGAGUAACGCGUAUCCAACCUGCCCACCACUUGGGGAUAACCUUGCGAAAGUAAGACUAAUACCCAAUGAUAUCUCUAGAAGACAUCUGAAAGAGAUUAAAGAUUUAUCGGUGAUGGAUGGGGAUGCGUCUGAUUAGCUUGUUGGCGGGGUAACGGCCCACCAAGGCAACGAUCAGUAGGGGUUCUGAGAGGAAGGUCCCCCACAUUGGAACUGAGACACGGUCCAAACUCCUACGGGAGGCAGCAGUGAGGAAUAUUGGUCAAUGGGCGAGAGCCUGAACCAGCCAAGUAGCGUGCAGGAAGACGGCCCUAUGGGUUGUAAACUGCUUUUAUAAGGGAAUAAAGUUAGUCUCGUGAGACUUUUUGCAUGUACCUUAUGAAUAAGGACCGGCUAAUUCCGUGCCAGCAGCCGCGGUAAUACGGAAGGUCCGGGCGUUAUCCGGAUUUAUUGGGUUUAAAGGGAGCGUAGGCCGGAGAUUAAGCGUGUUGUGAAAUGUAGACGCUCAACGUCUGCACUGCAGCGCGAACUGGUUUCCUUGGGUACGCACAAAGUGGGCGGAAUUCGUGGUGUAGCGGUGAAAUGCUUAGAUAUCACGAAGAACUCCGAUUGCGAAGGCAGCUCACUGGAGCGCAACUGACGCUGAAGCUCGAAAGUGCGGGUAUCGAACAGGAUUAGAUACCCUGGUAGUCCGCACGGUAAACGAUGGAUGCCCGCUGUUGGUCUGAACAGGUCAGCGGCCAAGCGAAAGCAUUAAGCAUCCCACCUGGGGAGUACGCCGGCAACGGUGAAACUCAAAGGAAUUGACGGGGGCCCGCACAAGCGGAGGAACAUGUGGUUUAAUUCGAUGAUACGCGAGGAACCUUACCCGGGCUUGAAUUGCAGAGGAAGGAUUUGGAGACAAUGACGCCCUUCGGGGUCUCUGUGAAGGUGCUGCAUGGUUGUCGUCAGCUCGUGCCGUGAGGUGUCGGCUUAAGUGCCAUAACGAGCGCAACCCCUCUCCUUAGUUGCCAUCAGGUUAAGCUGGGCACUCUGGGGACACUGCCACCGUAAGGUGUGAGGAAGGUGGGGAUGACGUCAAAUCAGCACGGCCCUUACGUCCG
rnacentral:rRNA from 1 species